CACUUUCUAUUUUAACUUUAAAUAAUUGUAGACACUGAGAAAGACUUCAUUUCUGCAUCAGUAUGGAGACCAGCUUCUGCACAUGGACUCUUCUUUUUGUUUUUAGUGUUUGGGGUGAAGUGAAAAUAACCCAGAAUCCAGAUUUUUCAGUAAAGGGGAUCGGACAGUCUAUCACAUUGUCAUGCGAUACUACGGGACUUAAUACAGAUUAUAUAUUUUGGCUGCGACAGUACAACGGGUGGGAAAUUGAACACUUGCUAUGCUAUUCUAAAAAUCUUAGUAAGUCUUAUGUGCCCCCAAAAUUGCAGUCUAGAUUCGUUCCAAGAUACGAUACUUCAGAAAAGAAAUUCAUUCUGACAAUUCAGGAUUUGCGGACUGAGGACAGCUCUACCAUCUUCUGUGCCACCGUUUAUGGCUCAAGUAAUGGAACAGCACUUCAGGUCUCAAAUAUUCUACAAUCUCGUCCCACAGUGCUGCUUUACAGUUCCAGGAUGGAGCCAUCAAAUGAAGAUGCUAAAACAAUGCCCACAACAGAAAUACCUGAUGUUAUCAAUUGCUUAGUCUCUGAAUUUUAUCCCAGUCUUCUAAAUGUUUCCUGGUACAUUAAUGGGAAUCUCAUUUCAUCAAAUUUUACAAACAUUGGUCCCAAACUUGACAGUGCUGGAAAAUACAUCUUCAACAGUAUUCUAAAGAUUUUCCCAAAUGACUGGAAUGAUGGGUUAGAACUUACAUGUCAGGUCUCUCAUGCAUCUCUCGCUUCACCUAUUACAAGAAAAAUUCACAAACCAAAGCCUCCUGAUGUCAAGGAAUUAUUCAGUGGCUGGUGGGUUUCUGGUAUCUUGGGAGGUCUGAUUGUGCUGAUUCUCCUUAUCAUUGUUGCAUACUGCUACAAAAAGGGAUCAGAACAUAGUGAAGCACCAUCUCGACAGGUUUCCUACAGCAAAUCUACUGGAAAUGUGAAUGACAGAAAAAAUAUGCCUUCAGAGAAACUGUAUGAAAAUGUUUGCAUUCGAGAGAAGAUGUGAUUAUGGGUGCACUUGUUAGUAGUUGCUUGAUGGUCUGAUGAAGCUAUCUUGUGAAAGCACUCACCUAUGGUCGACUGCAAUUAAAAGGAUUUUACUUGUUUUAAAUUCAA